rnacentral:lncRNA from 1 species
UUAACACCCUUAUCUUUUUUAAUAUGCAGGUUUGGUUGUUUUAACUGAAAGCAUAUAACUUAAAUAGUGAACCAAAAUAACCCAAACUCUUAUUCAGCACAUCUCACAGAAUACACAUUUUCAAUAUUCCAGAUUAGCAGGAUGGAGAGUUCAGGAGAGAGAUCAAAAUUUAAAUCUGUCAGUGACGACCACACACAGCAGCAGACUGCAAGGUUCUUCUCAAUAAUGCAAAACAUCUUUCAUCUAUGAAUUUUCCCAGUUUUCAUGAAUUUAAAUAUCUACAGAAAUGUUAUAAAAGCUUUAAAAUUCCUAAAUCCCAGUGCUACUCUAUUCCCUAUUAUUCCAGGACCAUUUCCAAAACCAAAGCUACCAGAACAGCUUAGAAAUCAUUAGGCGGGGUUGAAAAAUAGACUCUUAGAUUUAAAUAUACGGUUUUGGUGGGUUUGGUUGUUUCUUUAGGGUUUUUUGUUGUUUUUGUUUUGUUUUGUUUUUUGUUUUGGGGUUUUGUUUGUUUGUUGUUUUUUGAGACAGAGUCUGUCGCCCAGGCU